GUAACUAUGUAAGUACGUGCCGUCCACCGUGCAUCUAUAAAUCUAUAAUAUUUUGUUGAUGUUAAAAUAAUAUGCGGAAUCACCAUGCGGUGUUUGUCAAAACUACAAUCCGAUUGGCGGCGGCCCGUAUAAAAGACACGAAUAACCAUCAUUCGCAUAAUAAUCGGUUUUGUCGAAAUAUAACCCAAAUAAUACUUCAAUAAGUAUAUAAUAAGUAACAAAUAUUAUUCUCGAAUCCGUCCCAGAGUAUUAUACGAAAAUGGCGUACAACUUUAUACUAACAACAGUGUACUUGAUGGGUCUUCUGUUGGCCGUCUUCGCCGUUACUCGAGUAAGUAUACAGUAUAUACCGUAUUAUUACAAUAUAAUAACAGCAACGAUAAUGAUUUCCAUGGCUGUCAAAUUUUCCUCGAAAAUGGACACUGUUGCGCCAUCAUAUUGUGUGUAAAGGUCUAUUGAUUUUUUUUUAUCUUUUUCCGGCCGCUAUACUUUUCGUUAAGUGACACUUUUAACGGCUCCCUCGGGACCGGAUAAACUUAAACUCGAUAGUUAGAGUUGUUUAAUAAUAGACGGAUUGAAGGUAUAGAAGUCUGGUCGAAUUUUAAUACGAAUUUCACCGAAGGGCGAAGAGAGUGAUUUUUUUUUUUAAACUUUAAACAUCCCUGUAAAUACAGACUUUUUAAAUAAAACCGGGGCCCCGGUGACAUUUUGUGUAUGUAUCGCGUUAUAGUACCAACAGGGCCGUGUAUUUUUUCAAAUUUAGUAUAAUAGCUGUAGUAAUAUAGUAUUUCGGUUAUUUAUUGUUAUAUAGAACAACAAUAAACAAUGCAAAAUAAGUUGGGGAAAAUUCGACUUUAUGAUGAAGUAGAUCUGUUUUUUUUUAAUAUCGAAUAAUUAAAGAGGUCAACUGUACUGCUUCUGGGUCUUGUGGCGUUGCGAGAGUGCAGCGUCGUUUACUUUCCUUUGUGGCGAAUGUUUUUAAUAUCAAGCAUCCCCAGCACGAUUACACUAGUGUCUUUAGCUACCUCUCUCUUAUUCAAUAUAGUAGACAAAAUAAUAUCUGCUAAUAUUCGAUCCUUGAUCAAGCUACUAGAUAGAUAGCUCCAUUAACUGCCCUUCCCUACUAUUCCAGAUUAACUUCAGAGUUCCUCCUCGCGUGCGUUUUCACGCUCCCUUUUUUAUUCUAGCGUAAUCAGUGUUCUUUUGUUGUAAACUAUCCUUUAUACUAUUAGUAAUAUGAUUAGUUAUUUAAGUAUUGUUAAUCUAACGUUCUAAACGAUUCUCUAUAUGUAACAAUACUAUUAUAUUUCUAUGUAAAAUUGCCCAUUGGGGCGUAAAUAAAUAAAAUUAACCGACAUUUUUAAAAUCGUUUAGAAGAGGAUGAUUUAAAACGAAAACUGUGUAAAAUUCAUUGGAACAUUUUUGCGUUUAAACAUUUGCAUUAUGGAUAAAUAAAUAAUUCUAGGUGGGCUCAAUAGAACUUCAAUGUAAAUUUCAAAAUAUCUUUACUGAUUUAUUAAAAAAUGUUAGUAAACAAUUAAAAAUCCGUAAAAUGUAUUUACCAGUGUAAACAAACUACAGUACUUUUUUCCACAGAAAAUAACAACAACUAAUGCCAAUGCUAACCAAUGGUGACAUACUAACAUACUAUAACGCCUUUAUUCACUUACAACAACUUUUAUCGAUUGAACGUUUUUGUAAUACUAUUGUUAUUGACAAAUCAAAUAUUAAUAACUAAUUAUUGUUAUUAUUAUUAUUGAUGAGUCAACAAUCAUUAUUUUUUUGUGAAAUAACAACAAUUUCCGAAAAAAAUACCAGUUAAUUAUCCACAGACUCCUUCAGUUAUAAAUUUUAUUUCGUUAGGCGUGCUCAGUACCCGUUUCUAUAACGGGCGGUGGUGUGUGUGGCUGCUGUGGAUGCAACGAUGGCUCCUGCGCAUGUUGUGACGGCGGUACAGGAGGAGGUUAUGGAAAAUAUCUCCAUUAAAUCGAAUACUUAAUUGUAUUAUUUGGAAUUUGACGAUGAAAAAAAACAAAUGCUUAAUUUAUCGUCUCUAAGGCGAAACGUGGCCGGAAUCGAUUUUGGACAGAUUAUCAUAAGAAAAAAAAAUUUUUUUAAAUGCGAAAUAACGUGAUUAUAAAAUAAAAAUAAACUGUUUAAUUUCAAACCGUUUAUUUUGUAAUAUAUAACCUAACGCUAAGCGCAUAUUGUAUCCUGUAUAAAUUACCGUGUUUGC